rnacentral:ncRNA from 1 species
UACCUGAUUGAUUCUGUCAGCGCGAUAUGCUCAAGUAAAAGAUUAAGCCAUGCAUGCUUUGAUUCAUAAAUGAAAUUGCGUACGGCUCAUUAGAGCAGAUAUCACCUUUCUCGGAAUCCUGAAAAGGAUAACUGCGGAAAUUCUGGAGCUAAUACAUGCGACUAUACUCCAACGCAAGGCGGGGUGCAAUUAUUAGAACAGACCAAACGUUUUCGGACGUUGUUUGUUGACUCUGAAUACCGUCGUUUACUGUCAGUUUCGACUGACUCUAUCCGAGAAGGGUGUCUGCCCUUUCAACUAGAUGGUAAUCUAUUGGACUACCAUGGUUGUUACGGGUAACGGAGAAUUAGGGUUCGACUCCGGAGAGGGAGCCUUAGAAACGGCUACCACGUCCAAGGAAGGCAGCAGGCGCGAAACUUAUCCACUGUUGAGUAUGAGAUAGUGACUAAAAAUAUAAAGACUCAUCCUUUUGGAUGAGUUAUUUCAAUGAGUUGAAUAUAAAUUAUUCUUCGAGUAGCAAGGAGAGGGCAAGUCUGGUGCCAGCAGCCGCGGUAAUUCCAGCUCUCCUAGUGUAUCUCGUUAUUGCUGCGGUUAAAAAGCUCGUAGUUGGAUCUAGGUUACGUGCCGCAGUUCGCAAUUUGCGUUAACUGUGGUCGUGACUUCUAAUUUGCUGGAUUGAGGUUGGGUUCGCCCUUCAACUGCCAGCAGGUUUACCUUGAAUAAAUCAGAGUGCUCAAUACAGGCGCUUGCUUGAAUAGCUCAUCAUGGAAUAAUGAAACAGGACUUCGGUUCUUUUUGUUGGUUCUAGAAUUGAUCUAAUGGUUAAGAGGGACAAACCGGGGGCAUUCGUAUCAUUACGCGAGAGGUGAAAUUCGUGGACCGUAGUGAGACGCCCAAUAGCGAAAGCAUUUGCCAAGAAUGUCUUCAUUAAUCAAGAACGAAAGUCAGAGGUUCGAAGGCGAUUAGAUACCGCCCUAGUUCUGACCGUAAACGAUGCCAUCUCGCGAUUCGGAGGGUUCAUGCCCUACCGAGGAGCUACCCGGAAACGAAAGUCUUUCGGUUCCGGGGGUAGUAUGGUUGCAAAGCUGAAACUUAAAGAAAUUGACGGAAGGGCACCACAAGGCGUGGAGCUUGCGGCUUAAUUUGACUCAACACGGGAAAACUCACCCGGUCCGGACACUAUUAGGACUGACAGAUUGAAAGCUCUUUCUCGAUUUGGUGGUUGGUGGUGCAUGGCCGUUCUUAGU